GGCAACUUGUUGUUUCUUGAGAAAAAGGUCUGUGUUCGCCCCUCCUGGAACGGAGUGCCUGGCUCGACGUUGACGAGAGACGACAAUCCUCCAAGAGCGGCUCCUGCCUCGGCCACCAUGCGGAAACAAGCGGAAUCUCAAUUUAAACCUGGAGUGCUGAUGUCGUUAUUGUUGGAAUCGUCAAAGCUAAUCCCCUCCAGGACAAUUUAGGGUGCUCCCCAUUUUGGGGGCAGAGCUCUGUUUUCCGAAAUGCAAGCGUAUUGGCAAGUUCCCCUCGUUUCCCUGAUGCGGAAUGCAGUGCUUUGUUUUCCACCGUAAUGAAAAUACGAGAAAUAAAUAACCAGCAAACUG